AUACGUAGAGGGCGAGCGUUGUCCGGAAUCAUUGGGCGUAAAGGGUACGCAGGCGGUUUGGCAAGUCAAAAGGUGAAAUCCACUAGCUCAACUAGUGAACUGCCUUUGAAACUGCCAAACUUGAGGAUAAGAGAAGAAAGCGGAAUUCCUAGUGUAGUGGUGAAAUACGUAGAUAUUAGGAAGAAUACCGAUGGCGAAAGCAGCUUUCUAGCUUAUACCUGACGCUGAGGUACGAAAGCUAGGGUAGCAAACGGGAUUAGAUACCCCGGUAGUCCUAGCCGUAAACGAUGGAUACUAGGUGUUGGAGGUUCGACUCCUUCGGUGCCGUUAAGUUAACGCGUUAAGUAUCCCGCCUGGGGAUUACGACCGCAAGGUUGAA
rnacentral:rRNA from 1 species